rnacentral:misc_RNA from 1 species
AAUAAAUGUUGUACAGGAAACCAACGCACUAAUAGCUAACCAAUGAAACUACGCAAUGAAUUUCAGGAAAAUUACAAUACGGAAGAUGAAAAUAGGAGUUCAAGUGACAGGGCAAAACAUCUUCUAACAUUUGUAGUCGUCUCUACCAGUGCCAUGAUAAGGAGGUUCUUCUCUCUGAAAACUAUUUGCAUAAUCUGGAUAUCUGUGACCUUGCCGCUGAUAAUAAGAAAGAGAAUCCAUUCCAACACCUGGGGGAACAUCACCAUGGCUAAGGCUUCCAACCGGAUAAGAACUUUCCGUUCGAAUACGAGUGUACCCUCUAGGAUCUGAAUAAUUCAGAUCAUCUCCCAACAUAAAGAAAGAGCGCUUCUGUCCAGGUAAUGCUUGAGAAUAAUCCCAAUUCGCCAUGCCUGAACUCAAUCUUGCUUGCAUUUGCUUCUGUAGAGCCCGCUCUGCUAAGCGUUGCUCAAGCUCAGCUGUUCUAGAGGAUCUUAUAUCACCCAAUAUUUGAUCGUCAAUACGUAUGGCAGGAGUUUUGCUGUUUCUCAGUUCAACUUGCUUUGCAGGACCUUGACUUGACUGUUUUUGUUUUGAAACUUCUUUACCUGUAGGCUUGGAGACUUUCUUAUGGGCUUUACCCUUUUGCAUAGGUUUUGCAAGGGAUAACUUUACAUUUACCUGAGAUCCCUUGUCACUCAAUCUCUCAUGGUUGAACAAUUCUAUGCAUGUAAGAGCAGCUUCACGGGUUUUAAAAUUAACAAAGGCAAAGUCUUUUCUCCUUGAAGAAGGUAGAUUUCGGGAAAGAACAACAUUUUCA